GACACACAGCCAUUGUGGAUCGUGAACUAAUAAUUAUAGAGUCAUAUUAUGAUAUUUUUCUAGCUGAGAUCGACAUUACGUACCUUUGAAUAAUGUUUACUAUUUGUUGAUAAUUUUCUUGUGGUUUUCUCAUUGAGUCAAAGAUUAUCAACCGGUUCUUGGGAAUUUCAAUGACGAUGAGUAUCCAGUGAAAGUUGUUUACACAUAUAUAUAGUCAGGCCUAUAUAUAACUAUAAAACUUGUCUCGAGUAAUAAUAAGUAAAAUAAAAUAUGCAUGCACUUAAUAACUAUAUAACUCACUCGAAGUUGAAGGGGAAGAGUAUUUUUUGUUUUUCUUUUUGGUUCACAAAGAACCUCAUAAGAUUGGUGCAUACUUCUGUCUCAUGAGCUGCUGUCCACACUGCCUAUGGAGCCUUGAAAACAAUAUAAGGGUCAACGAACCCAAUACUAUUGUCAUUUCUCAUUCUGAGCUCUCUCAUUUGGUGCCUGCAUAUAUACAUACAAAUUCUAAGUGUGUAAGGAUUAUAUACAUGUAAUUAAAGAAGUUAGAAGUAUAAUAAAAAGAAAAAAAAUACUUAC
rnacentral:lncRNA from 1 species